rnacentral:rRNA from 1 species
AUUGAACGCUGGCGGCAUGCCUUACACAUGCAAGUCGAACGGUAACAGGUCUUCGGAUGCUGACGAGUGGCGAACGGGUGAGUAAUACAUCGGAACGUGCCUAGUAGUGGGGGAUAACUACUCGAAAGAGUGGCUAAUACCGCAUGAGAUCUACGGAUGAAAGCAGGGGAUCGCAAGACCUUGUGCUACUAGAGCGGCCGAUGGCAGAUUAGGUAGUUGGGGGGGUAAAGGCUCACCAAGCCAACGAUCUGUAGCUGGUCUGAGAGGACGACCAGCCACACUGGGACUGAGACACGGCCAGACUCCUACGGGAGGCAGCAGUGGGGAAUUUUGGACAAUGGGCGCAAGCCUGAUCCAGCAAUGCCGCGUGCAGGAAGAAGGCCUUCGGGUUGUAAACUGCUUUUGUACGGAACGAAACGGUCCUGGUUAAUACCCGGGGCUAAUGACGGUACCGUAAGAAUAAGCACCGGCUAACUACGUGCCAGCCGCCGCAGUAAAAC